rnacentral:rRNA from 1 species
GUAGUUAAUACCUGCAUCCUGUGACGUUAACUGCAGAAGAAGCACCGGCUAACUCCGUGCCAGCAGCCGCGGUAAUACGGAGGGGCGAGCGUUAAUCGGAAUUACUGGGCGUAAAGCGCGCGUAGGUGGAUUGGUCAGUCAGAUGUGAAAGCCCCGGGCUCAACCUGGGAACUGCACCUGAUACUGCCAGUCUAGAGUACGGUAGAGGGUAGUGGAAUUUCCUGUGUAGCGGUGAAAUGCGUAGAUAUAGGAAGGAACACCAGUGGCGAAGGCGACUACCUGGACCGAUACUGACACUUAGGUGCGAAAGCGUGGGGAGCAAACAGGAUUAGAUACCCUGGUAGUCCACGCCGUAAACGAUGUCUACUAGCCGUUGGGGGACUUGAUCUUUUAGUGGCGCAGCUAACGCGAUAAGUAGACCGCCCUGGGGAGUACGGCCGCAAGGUUAAAACUCAAAUGACUGACGGGGG